rnacentral:rRNA from 1 species
UACAGAGGUCUCAAGCGUUGUUCGGAUUCAUUGGGCGUAAAGGGUGCGUAGGCGGCGCGGUAAGUCGGGUGUGAAAUCUCGGAGCUUAACUCCGAACUGCAUUCGAUACUGCCGUGCUUGAGGACUGGAGAGGAGACUGGAAUUUACGGUGAGCGGUGAAAUGCGUAGAUAUCGUAAGGAAGACCAGUGGCGAAGGCGGGUCUCGUGGACAGUUCCUGACGCUGAGGCACGGAAG